rnacentral:rRNA from 1 species
GACGAACGCUGGCGGCGUGCUUAACACAUGCAAGUCGAACGAAGAGCGAUGGAAGCUUGCUUCUAUCAAUCUUAGUGGCGAACGGGUGAGUAACGCGUAAUCAACCUGCCCUUCAGAGGGGGACAACAGUUGGAAACGACUGCUAAUACCGCAUACGAUCUAAUCUCGGCAUCGAGGAUAGAUGAAAGGUGGCAUCUACAUGUAAGCUAUCACUGAAGGAGGGGAUUGCGUCUGAUUAGCUAGUUGGAGGGGUAACGGCCCACCAAGGCGAUGAUCAGUAGCCGGUCUGAGAGGAUGAACGGCCACAUUGGGACUGAGACACGGCCCAGACUCCUACGGGAGGCAGCAGGGGGGAAUCUUCCGCAAUGGACGAAAGUCUGACGGAGCAACGCCGCGUGAGUGAUGACGGCCUUCGGGUUGUAAAGCUCUGUUAAUCGGGACGAAAGGCCUUCUUGCGAAUAGUGAGAAGGAUUGACGGUACCGGAAUAGAAAGCCACGGCUAACUACGUG